UUUGAAGUAUCUAAAAAAUAAAUUUUGCAAUUUUUCUAUAUUAUUUGCCUAGUGAUCGAAGUGGUUCAAAAUCAACGACUGAAAAUAAAAAUCUUACAACAUAUGAUGAUAUGAUAUUAAAAUUUUAGAUCAAAGUUAUUGAUCUUGUUUUAUAUGGUAUAAAGAAUUUUCUAUCAAAAUUGUAUGUGAUUUGGAUAUUUCUGCACUGUUAAACUUGCAACCGGCUCACCACUGCCAUUAAAAUUAUUGAUUUUGAGCCCCUUCGAUCUCUAGGCAAAUGAUAUCAAAAAAUCACAAAACUUAUUUUCUAGAUACUUCAAAUACUCUAGAUCAACUCUAAUGGAGCCGAUCGUCGAUUCGAAAGUCCGAACAUCAAAAACAACUUGGAAGUACGGAGGGCUCCGUGCUUCCAUAAGCAUACCAGCCCCCUAUAUAUAUAUAUAUAGUAGAGCUACUGUGCUAUUAGGAACACAGCAGUUCUUGUGCUCUAAACUUUCUAACUAUACAUCAAAUUUGAUAGAUGGUUAGGAUGAGAGAGAGAAGACAGAGAAGAAAAGAAAAAUUGAGACACUAAAUUUCUCCUCAAUUUCUCUUUUCUCUCUUAUUCUAACCAUCCAUCAAAAUUGAUGGAUGAUUAGAAAGUUAGGAGCACAAGAUUUGCUGUGCUCCUACUAGUAUAGUAGCUCUACUCUCUCUCUCUCUAUAUAUAUAGAGUCCGACUACCAUAUUAUUAGGGAUGCAAACGAGGCGGAUCCGGGAGCGUGAGCCCCGCCCCGCCUCUCGCCCCCUUCCCCCCAACUAGCAAAAUUCCGCCUCGCCUCCCACCUCGAGAAUCCGUGACGGGUUAAAAAAUACAUCCCAUAAUCCGUCUUGCCUCGUAACCCGCCUCCCACCAACGCCCCGAAUUCGCUCCCCCAACUAAUAUUUUUUAUGAAAUUAUAAUAUUAUUAAUAUUUUAUAAAAUAUAAAUUAAUAAUUUUUAAUAAUAUUAUAUAUAUAAUUAAUAAUAUCAAAUAUAAAAAUCAAAAAUACCAAUCAUAAUCCAAAACAAAAUUCAAAUGAUUCAAAUACAUUAGAAAUGAGAGUAGUAAUUUAUUUGUAUUUUGAACUUUUUUAUAAAUACAUUAUUUUUUAGAAAUAUUUUUAAAAAUAUAAAUAAUUUUCGGGGCGGAUUCGGGGUGGAUCAUGGCGGGGCGGAUUCGAGGUGGGUUAAAAUUUCUCCCGUUUCCUACCCCGAAUCCGUCUCGGAUCGUAAAAUUUACUCCGUUUCCCACCCUGAAUCCGUUUAUUUUCUCCCAUUUACUACCCUGUCGGGCGGAUCAGGGCGGGAGCUCCACCAACCUGGAUCCAUUUGCAUCCCUAUAUAUUAUCGAUAGUACCAAACUCUUGAUACUAUUGAGUUUUAUGCCAUUAGAUCUACAUUUUGAUCAUUUUCAUCCAUUAGAUUACACUAUUUAACUAGCCAUUCACUCAACUAUAGGGGACCGCCGGAGCUCCACCAACCCGGAUCCAUUUGCAUCCCUAUAUAUUAUCGAUAGUACCAAACUCUUGAUAUUAUUGAGUUUUCGGCCAUUAAAUCUACAUUUUGAUCAUUUUCAUCCAUUAGAUUACACUAUUUAACUAACCAUUCACUCAACUAUAGGGGACCGCUAUCAUCUUAACUGUACAUAUCUUUUUAUCCAAUGGCCGAAAACUCGAUAGUAUUAAGCACUUGGUACUAUCGAUAAUAUAGUAACAUAAUAUAUAUAUAUAUAUAUAUA
rnacentral:lncRNA from 1 species